AGAGUUUGAUCAUGGCUCAGGACGAACGCUGGCGGCGUGCCUAAUACAUGCAAGUCGAGCGAAUGAUGAGGAGCUUGCUCCUCUGAUUUAGCGGCGGACGGGUGAGUAACACGUGGGCAACCUGCCCUGUAGACUGGGAUAACUUCGGGAAACCGGAGCUAAUACCGGAUAAUCCAUUUCACCUCAUGGUGAAAUGUUGAAAGGCGCUUUCGGGCGUCACUACAGGAUGGGCCCGCGGUGCAUUAGCUAGUUGGUGGGGUAACGGCCUACCAAGGCGACGAUGCAUAGCCGACCUGAGAGGGUGAUCGGCCACAUUGGGACUGAGACACGGCCCAAACUCCUACGGGAGGCAGCAGUAGGGAAUCUUCCACAAUGGACGAAAGUCUGAUGGAGCAACGCCGCGUGAGUGAUGAAGGUUUUCGGAUCGUAAAACUCUGUUGUAAGGGAAGAACAAGUACGUUAGGAAAUGAACGUACCUUGACGGUACCUUAUUAGAAAGCCACGGCUAACUACGUGCCAGCAGCCGCGGUAAUACGUAGGUGGCAAGCGUUGUCCGGAUUUAUUGGGCGUA
rnacentral:rRNA from 1 species